rnacentral:lncRNA from 1 species
AGACUAGAUCGAUAGGGCUGCACAGAGGUGGCACAGUUGUGCCAGAGGUAGCAGGGACAGGAGGGCUGGCAAGGGAGGGUCCAGGGCUAGGGGAUUCGGAGUGGCUUCAGGCGGACCACGUGGCUACCUUUUUUCCAGGGCCAGACUUUGGCAGCGUGUAAGGUCUGAGGACAGGGGCACCGGAGGCCGAGGAUGAGAGGCCAGUGCCUGUUUCCAGGCAGCCAGGGCCUCAGAAACUCCGGCCGGAGCACUCACCCGUCGGUGGAGGCCGUUACCAGGGCCACCUUAUUUGCGAGCGGGUCCCGGCGGGUCAUCCCGGAGCUGGCCAUCCGCACCGAAUUCCAAGCCCGGGCACAGAGGCCUAGCAGCCCCGCCUUGUGCAUGGAUCAGACCAGCAAAAUUCCUUCUCCAAGAAAGUCUGGGUCUAUGUGUGUGACAGCCCACAGGAGGGCAAAUGUUUUGAGACUGCCCAUGGAGGUGAGGCCUGUGGUCGCCAUGGAGUCCACCAGGUGCCACUUCGGAUAAACCCUUUGGACUCCUAACUCCAAUCAGGUGUCUGCUUUGUUGAGGACUCACAGACACAGUCUCCUUUCUUCAAGAUCUUUACAAUGCAAGACCUCACUAACACACAGGGAUGGUCUCCCAGAGGGUCUGUGCUGUUCCUUCACUCAGAACAUCAAGAUGCACUGAAGUAAGGAUCCUCUAUUCUACAGUUCCUGCUAGCUGAGCUAUUCCAUGGGGGCUUCAGCAGGAAAUUCCAAGGUUGGCUUUGACAAGCUAAGGCCGGCUGGUGGAGCACAUCGAGUUCUGGAGGUUCAUGUGUGUUUUCAUGAAGAUCUGUCUGCCCGUAGCAGAUAAAGAGUUGUUGCCCCACUCCUCCUGGGGUCUUCUAUUUUCCUGGGAGGAAUUUCUGGAUUAACUGAACACACACACACACACACACACCCUUUUGAAGCAUCAACAGUAAUUCUGAGUUCUUAGGGACAAUGCAGAUUAAAUCCACAAUAAGAAAGACAACUAUGGCCAGGUGUGGUGGCUCACGCCUGUAAUCCCAGAACUUUGGGAGGCUGAGGCGGAUGGAUCACCUGAGGUCAGGAGUUAGAGACCAACCUGACCAACAUGGAGAAACCCCGUUUCUACUAAAAAUGCAAAAUUAGCCGGGCAUGGUGGCAGGCGCCUGUAAUCCCAAAUACUCGGGAGGCUGAGGCAGGAGAAUCACUUAAACCCGGGAGGCAGAGGUUGCAGUGAGCCAAGAUCGCGCCAUUGCACUCCAGCCUGGGCAAGAAGAGCAAAACUCCAUCUCAAAAAAAAAAAAAGAGUACUAUUGAUCCAGAGGUGACCAGACUAGCCUCACUGGAGAUAAUAGGUGACAUUAUUAUGCAAAGUGGUUUCAGUUCCCUUGUCUUGUUUUUGGAAUAGUAUAAGAGGCCUACAAUACGAAUAAAUAAGGCCCAUCACAAGCCUCACCAAAGGACAAAACUAAUCCACUUCUGAAGAAGGCUCUUUGUUGGGCCAGAUCAAAUCCUUGGACAGAACUGUACUCUUAAUCUCUGUAGUGAAAGUGGGGGGUAGUUUAAGAAUUUAUUAACCUUCUACCUUGAGCAAUCCCUCAGAAGUAAGAGGUGUCAGGCCUCUGAGCCGAAGCUCAGCCAUUGUAACCCCUGUGACCUGCACAUAUAUGUCCAGAUGGCCUGCAGGAGCCAAGAAGUCUGGGGCAGCUGAAAAACCACACAAGAAGUAAAACAGCCAGUUCCUGCCUUAACUGAUUAACCAACAUUACAACAUUCCACCAUUGUGACCUGUCCCUGUCCUACCUUAACUGAUCAAUCGACCUUGUGACAGUCUUCUUCUGGACAAUGGGUCUUAUCAUCUCCCCACCAUGUACCUUGUGACCCCCUCCUCUGCUAACAAUAGAUAACCACUUUUUACUGUAAUUUUCCAUUACCUACCCAACUCCUAUAAAGCAACCCCUUCCCCAUCUCCCUUCACUGACUCUGUUUUCAGACUCAGCCCACUUGCACUCAAGUGAAUAAACAGCCUUGUUGCUCACACAAA